rnacentral:rRNA from 1 species
AUGGCGCAACGCCGUGUGCCAGACCUUGAAACUCUACUGGUGGAAGAGGUGGCAUCCUACUUUCACGAGCCCCCCGGUGGCUACGGGCUGGCUCCUCCUUUCCGCCGUGGCCUGAUCGAGUUCAACACAUAUGGUUUUGAAGAAUUCAUCCAAUCCAUCGAUCUCUUGAAGUCUGAGUGGUGCCGUUCUUUACCAAAUCGUACCAAAAAUGUUGGCCGGCCUUGUCAUGUCCACCUGCCGGAGGUGCUCGAGCGCCUCGUCAUCGUGGAUGCUGACCACCGGGACCACGCCCACCUACACCCGCCCACGGGCAUGGGCACGGACACCACAGCAGCACGCCCGUGGACAUCGUGGAGUCCCGCGGCGAGUAUGCCUUCCUGCUCGACGUCCCUGGCCUCUCCAAGUCCUACAUGCAGGUACGUGCGCUGUGCGCACACCAUGCCAUGCCGGCAUGCCGCCAUGGCCGCCCCCAGUUUCUCCUCGGACCGAAAGACUCUGGAGGAGGACAACGUGCUGGUGAUGAAGAGCGCCAACCGGAAGCGGAAGCGGGAGGAGGAGGAAGCGAACUGCCGGUACAUCCAGCCGGAGAGCCGCGCGUCGCCACGGUCGUUCGUGCGCAAGUUCCGGCUGCCGGAGAAGGCAGACACAGGCGCCGUGGCCGCACGCUGUGAGAGCGGCGUGCUCACCGUCAGCCUCGAGAAGCAGCCGCCGCCAGAGAAGAAGGCCAAGUCCGUCCAGGUCGCCAUCGCCUGA